GGCCUAAUGGUCUAGUAGCAUGAUUCUUCCUUUGGGUCGCACCGCAAGGUGGGAAAUAACUUGGAAGAGGUCCUGGGUUCAAUUCCCAGUUGGGCCC